rnacentral:tRNA from 5 species
GUCGGGAUAGCUCAGUUGGUAGAGCAGAGGACUGAAAAUCCUCGU